rnacentral:lncRNA from 1 species
CAAAAACUUCCUUGCAGAUAGCGAGGACUUGUUCCUUGACAGCCUUUAUCAUGGCAAGACGAACUGCUGAGGUAUUAUGAGUGCAAAAGAUUGAAUCUGACUGUGGGGGAAUGUUUAAGUUUUCCUAGUUAGUUAAAACAGCCGUAGGGCAUCUUGGAUUGGGUUCAGCUUCAUAGCUUGGACACAGAUCUCAGUUAUCCUCUAUUCUUGGCACUGAUCUUUGCUUGCCUGACAGCUUAGUGGUGGGAAUCCAGGAUCUUUGACUACAUAAAUCUGUUCCUACAUAGGUGUCACCUCAUUCUGCAGUUGCAUGCUCAGCAUUCAAGUGUUUCCCUUGGUCGUUUCUCACUGGCAGCUGUUUCUUCCCUGUGGGGAGCAGAUGAGCCAUGGCAAGCCAUUAUCAGCCCUCUAAGAUGAUGUUGAGUCAGCCUCGAAAUCAGCCCUGAAGAUAACUCUGGUCUUGUGCAGCCAGCGGCUUGGAUCUUUUCCUGUUUGCCAGAAUAUUGUCCCAGCAAGGCAGUCUCACCCUUAUCAACACAAACUCACAUGAAUCCCCUGGGAUAUGCACGUGGAGCUGACGUGUCCCUGGGAAUAAGGGUUGGAUUCUCUCGUGGCUGACACUUCACUCUGAGAGAGAACUUCUGGUUUCAAAAUUUUUAUUGGUGGCAACGAGUGAGACAGGAGAAACAAAAUCUGAAUUCUGGAUUAUUUGUGAGGCUGACAGCCAGGCUAAAAAUACCUUUCCUGCUCAGCAACACAGAUGAGUGGUCAAAUAAACAAGCUUUUCAACCCCAGCAUUUGCCUGCCCACCAGCCUCAGCAUCAAACGAGGAACAUGCCCACGUGCAGGGGAGGACUGCAGUGCAGGCACCAGGGUCAGAGGGCCAUGCUCAGGUAAACCCUGUUCAGCUCUCCUUAAAGGUGGCCCCCAAAGUCACGGUGGGCAACUCCACAAGCUCUGGCUUGUGCUGCCUGUUUGAGGUGUCGGUGCCCAGCAGGAGGAGCAGGGUGUGAGGGUGCCUUGGGCCAUGCCUGGGGUGUGUGGAGCGUGGUGGUGACGGGACCUGUCACUGCAGAGUCCUCCUC